rnacentral:rRNA from 1 species
AUUGAACGCUGGCGGCAGGCCUAACACAUGCAAGUCGAGCGGAUUAAGGGAGCUUGCUCCUGGAUUCAGCGGCGGGCGGGUGAGUAAUGCCUAGGAAUCUGCCUGGUAGUGGGGGAUAACGUCCGGAAACGGGCGCUAAUACCGCAUACGUCCUGAGGGAGAAAGUGGGGGAUCUUCGGACCUCACGCUAUCAGAUGAGCCUAGGUCGGAUUAGCUAGUUGGUGGGGUAAAGGCCUACCAAGGCGACGAUCCGUAACUGGUCUGAGAGGAUGAUCAGUCACACUGGAACUGAGACACGGUCCAGACUCCUACGGGAGGCAGCAGUGGGGAAUAUUGGACAAUGGGCGAAAGCCUGAUCCAGCCAUGCCGCGUGUGUGAAGAAGGUCUUCGGAUUGUAAAGCACUUUAAGUUGGGAGGAAGGGCAGUAAGUUAAUACCUUGCUGUUUUGACGUUACCAACAGAAUAAGCACCGGCUAACUUCGUG